UCGGCGGGCAGUCGGUUUGGAGCAACAGGUGUAACAUCGCCAUGGCGCAGCGCGGACGACGCGACGGCGCGGGCGGUAGUUGCUCCUAGGCGUGUAAAGUUGACUGUCGAGUCUUGAGUGAGCGCCUUGAAACGGCCGCGGAGGGCCGAGGGAGGAGAAGGAGAAGGCCCCGCAGAGGCAUCGAGCGUCAGCGAAGCAAGCACGAGGUCGAUGUUGUAUACAAUUCUAUUAACUGCGCAUCGCAGCGGUAAGUGCAUAUAAUU